GAUAGCGCAAGUGAGCUGAACUUCUGCGCUGCUGUAGUGCACUAUCCUCAGUUUAAUACUUUAUUUCGGAAGUUAUUAUCUUUGACGAAAACAUCUGAAGCCUUGUGUGUUUUUAUCAACACCAUUAAGGACUGUUGGAUUUGCUCUUCAUCCAGUAAUUAACGGGUUUAUCGGGAAGUUAAGAUGUUUACAGUGAUAUUCUGGGCUUCCAGUGGCAUCCGAACCUGUGAUUUCUGAAAGCAGGUAAGCCACUGACUAACGCACAUUGCGCCUGUUCUCCACUCCACUGUGCGUGUGACAGCGGCUAACCAGCUUUUGGAUGAGUGCCUGACUUCAGCAGCCGUGGGAACGUCCCACCGGAGACUCCCGAACGGGUCGAGGCGGACACACUCACUGGAGGGACGCUUUUGGGCCCCCCGUCCCUCCACGAGUCUCUCUGCUCCUGUAGCUCAAGUGUUGAGUGUUUGAUUCCCGUGCAGCACAUCACGUGCUGAAGAGAUGAACGCAUGCAUCAGUGCAUACGUGCAGUGUGUCACAGACACGUGCUCCUGACUAAACUCACAUCUCUAGAUGAAGCUGCUUCGCUCAGUCAUACUUGUAUAUGUCAGAAUAAUGUUGUCUUGCACUAAACCAGCAGCUCUGAACUUUUGAACUUGAACCGUUAUGCAAAUCCAGUCACAGUAGCUGUGUAAACUGAAACAGCUCUGAAUCACACGUUUAACAGGCUCGCUCUGUUAUAUUUAGCAUAGUAAUAAUUCAACUUUCAUUCUGAUCAGCAGUUUCAGUUUUGGUUUCAAAAUAUGAUAC